AUUGUACGCUGGCGGCAUGCCUUACACAUGCAAGUCGAACGGUAACAGGUUAAGCUGACGAGUGGCGAACGGGUGAGUAAUAUAUCGGAACGUGCCCAGUCGUGGGGGAGAACGUAGCGAAAGCUACGCUAAUACCACAUACGAACUACGGAUGAAAGCGGGGGAUCGCAAGACCACGCGCGAAUGGAGCGGCCGAUAUCAGAUUAGGUUGUUGAUGGGGUAAAAGCUCACCAAGCCUGCGAUCUGUAGCUGGUCUGAGAGGACGACCAGCCACACUGGAACUGAGACACGGUCCAGACUCCUACGGGAGGCAGCAGUGGGGAAUUUUGGACAAUGGACGCAAGUCUGAUCCAGCAAUGCCGCGUGCAGGACGAAGGCCUUCGGGUUGUAAACUGCUUUUGUACGGAACGAAACGGUGAGCUCUAAUACAGUUUGCUAAUGACGGUACCGUAAGAAUAAGCACCGGCUAACUACGUGCCAGCCGCCGCCGUAACAC
rnacentral:rRNA from 1 species